CAGGAUCGUAGUUUAAAUAAAACAUUUGCAUUGGAAGCUAAAACUCAGGUGGAUACCUGCAUCUUGA
rnacentral:tRNA from 1 species